CUUCAGCAGUAAGCUAUGCAGAAUAUAAUGUCCAAACACAGACAAGAUGUUUUGCUCUUAAAUUAGUUAUUUUCUAUUCAGUUUUUAUCCUCCUUCCCUACAUCCAGUCUAACUGCAAGUCUUCCACUUGCCCUAUCAGUUCCUUUAGGAUUCCGUGAUCUCAACAAGAGCAAAAGCAAUAUUGUACCUGGGAGAGGGAGCAGACCCAUCAGACUUGCUGUGGUCUGCAUGGCAAGAUUUUCUGGCCUGUGUGACAGCAGCCUGAGUGGGAACUGUGACCAUGACAAGCAAAACCAGCCAGCUUACCCAAGACUGGAGUGGAUGGAAUGGCUCCUGCCCACCUUUGAGCUGUGGGGGGAAAAGAAAGUCGCUGGCCUUUGUAUUGAUGGUGAACCAGCAGCAAUCAGAGCACACUCAUGGGUGCUAUGAUAAGGCAUGAACAAACAUAUGCUGUUUGCUGUUGUCAGGGGGCUGAACAGCACAUUGUGAGUCAGUUAUUCAAGUAAGGUAGUGAUGUGACUGCAAAGGUGUGUCUCCUAGAUCCAACGUUUUAGGUUUGUCUUGUAUCAUUUUGUGUUUUCAGACUUGAGAACACCUUUCCUCUGUUGCAGUAACUACUGGAAAAGUUGUGGUUUUUCAGGAAAGGAGUGAUGCCAUCUGUGCCAAUGCCCCCUAGGAGCAGAAGUCUCAAACCUGUGAGCUUGGAACCCUCACUCAAAACUACAGCAAGUAUUGAGGAUGUUCAUUGCCCCCAUGGGGUCAAUCUUCCGUGGUUAAGACUGUCACAGGAAGAGAAAGCACUAAUGACAAACUUCUGAAAGACCUGCCCUAUUUACUUGAGGCAAAUUUUGUUUCUAUUAACUAUUAUGCUUCUUCCAAGUAAACCAUCAAAAUCAUUACAAAGUCUUUAGACAAGGCAAGUGCUAGUUGAAUUUGUGAUUGCUGGAGGAGAGAAGAUCUGGGCAGUAACAGCUGCUAGCACUGCUAGUCAAGGUCCUGGGCGUUUUCCCUUGUUUUUCAAUUGCUGAACUUUGCUACAAAUUCUAUUAGUGGUGGCUUUUUAUCUUAGGUAGCAACUAUUGUAACUUCUGUUCUUCAGUAAAGUUGGGAAAACAUUCAGCCUGUCAGUUUGAAACCUCUCUAAACAAAAUGCUGCUCAGAUGUACCAAUUGGACGUUGGACGUAACUUCCUGCUGGCCUCCCUUGCUCUAGUUUGAUAACAGAUCAUAGAAUCACUAAGAUCACCUAGUCCAGCCAUCAGCCCACCACCAUCGUGCCCACCAACCACGCCCCUCAGAGCCAUAGUGCUAGGUGAAAGAAGCAGGCUGUAUGGGACAAACAGUUCUGAAAUGAAAUCUGAAAAGAGCUUCACAGUUAUCUAAAAUACAGAUUUAUCACUUCUGGCAACUGGAGAACAAAUGGGAAAAUUUGCUCUGAUUUUCCACCGGUGAGUGAACUGUGAUAGAAAAAGAUGGAAACAUAAAACAAUUUAGGAAGAAAAAGAUUCAGCUCUCUCUCUCUCCAUAUCUAAUGCUGA